rnacentral:rRNA from 1 species
CCCUUAGAUGUUCUGGGCCGCACGCGUGCUACACUGAGUGGAUCAGCGGGUCAGGUUGCGCGAAAGCGUUUCCUAAUCUUUAAAUCCGCUCGUGAUGGGGAUUGACGGUUGCAAUUUUCUGUCAUGAACGAGGAAUACCUUGUAAGCGCGGGUCAUCAUCCCGCGCUGAAUACGUCCCUGCCCUUUGUACACACCGCCCGCCGCUCCUACCGAUUGAGUGGUCCGGUGAGGCUUUGGGAUCUGAGCGGAAAGAGUGUUUCGCUGUUUCUGCUCGGAAAACUCAGUCGAACCUUAUCAUUUAGAGGAAGGAGAAGUCGUAACA